rnacentral:ncRNA from 1 species
CGCUUGGUUGAAGCCAGUGGCGCGAAGCUACCGUGCGCUGGAUUAUGACUGAACGCCUCUAAGUCAGAAUCCGGGCCAGAAGCGACGCGUUGUCCGCCGCUCGUUUGCCGACCAGCAGUAGGGGCCCUCCGGCCCCCAAAGGCACGUGUCGUUGGCUAAGCCCUCGCGGCGGACGAGCCGCGCGGGCCGCCUUGAAUUACAAUUUCCACCGGGCGGCGGACUGAAUCCUUUGCAGACGACUUAAAUACGCGACGGGGUAUUGUAAGUGGCAGAGUGGCCUUGCUGCCACGAUCCACUGAGAUUCAGCCCUUCGUCGCUCCGAUUCGU